CGACCCCAGGUCAGGCGGGAUUACCCGC
rnacentral:snRNA from 1 species